rfam:Cicer arietinum chromosome Ca3, whole genome shotgun sequence.
UCUCAGUGAUGAUUAAUACGAUGACGAGUCUGAUGAAAUUUCCAUUCUAAACAAUCAUGACGACGAAUCGAGGCAUUUGUCUGAGAGGA